AGUGAACGCUGGCGGUAGGCCUAACACAUGCAAGUCGAACGGCAGCACAGUAAGAGUUUGCUCUUACGGGUGGCGAGUGGCGGACGGGUGAGGAAUACAUCGGAAUCUACUUUUUCGUGGGGGAUCACGUAGGGAAACUUACGCUAAUACCGCAUACGACCUACGGGUGAAAGCAGGGGAUCUUCGGACCUUGCGCGGUUGAAUGAGCCGAUGUCGGAUUAGCUAGUUGGCGGGGUAAAGGCCCACCAAGGCGACGAUCCGUAGCUGGUCUGAGAGGAUGAUCAGCCACACUGGAACUGCGACACGGUCCAGACUCCUACGAGAGGCAGCAGUGGGGAAUAUUGGACAACGGGCGCAAGCCUGAUCCAGCCAUACCGCGUGGGUGAAGAAGGCCCUCGGGUUGUAAAGACCUCUUGUUGGGAAAGAAAAGCAGCAGCUUAAUACCAAGCUGUACUGACGGUACCCAAAGAAUAAGCACCGGCUAACUUCGUG
rnacentral:rRNA from 1 species